rnacentral:misc_RNA from 1 species
GCCAAACCAUACCCUUGAAGAAAUCCUAACGCAAACGGGUAGAGAACUCGAAUAGUAGGACCCGUCUUCCUCAGGUACUACUGGUGCUGUUGUCUUGGGACCAAGUGGCAACACAGACCAUUUUUAAGGUCAAAAGAAUCACUUGCAAACUAAGGCACACCAAGAACAGCAUGGUAGCAAAGAGUUCAAGUGAAACCAGAAGAGAACAGGCCAUGG